GAUGAAGAACGUAGCGAAAUGCGAUAAGUAAUGUGAAUUGCAGAAUUCAGUGAAUCAUCGAAUCUUUGAACGCACAUUGCGCCCCCUGGUAUUCCGGGGGGCAUGCCUGUUCGAGCGUCAUUUCACCACUCAAGCCUCGCUUGGUAUUGGGCAACGCGGUCCGCCGCGUGCCUCAAAUCGACCGGCUGGGUCUUCUGUCCCCUAAGCGUUGUGGAAACUAUUCGCUAAAGGGUGUUCGGGAGGCUACGCCGUAAAACAACCCCAUUUCUAAGGUUGACCUCGGAUCAGGUAGGGAUACCCGCUGAACUUAAGCAUAUCAAUAUGCGGAGGA
rnacentral:misc_RNA from 1 species